UGCACUGCAUGGUAUCUACACACAGCAGCGUAUCCUGCUGGGUGUUCAAGGACAGUGCAACAGAAAUCCAGUGUCUGGCAUCGUUGGUUUCUUGGCUUCGUGCUGCUAAACCUGGUAUUUUUACUGAGACAUUU